AUGGUGGAUAUUGAUAAACUCAACAUCGACAUUAUCAUCCAAUGCUUGCCAGAAGUGAGAGGGUCCAAGGCAGGCAAGAAUGUCCAGCUCCAGGAGAAUGAAAUCAGAGGACUCUGUCUGAAGUCUCAGAAGAUCUUCCUCAGUCAGCCUAUCCUUUUAGAACUCGAAGAUAUGUGGUGACAUCCACAGGCAAUACUAUAGUUUGCUCCUUCUGUUUGAGCAUGGUGACUUCCUCCAGAAAACAACUAUUUGUUUCUCAGGGACUAUGUGGAGAGGGGCAAAUAGUCACUAGAGAUGAUCUGCCUCUUGCUGGCCUACAAAAUCAAGUGUCUGGAGAACAUUUUUCUUCUCAGAGAGAACCACGAGUGUGCCAGCAUCAAUAGGAUCUACGAAUUUUAUGAUGAGUGUAAAAGAAGAUAUAACAUUAAGCUAUGGAAAACAUUCACAGACUGUUUUAAUUGCUUACUGAUAGCAGCCAUCGUGGACAAGAAGAUAGUCUGCUGUCAUGGAGGUUUAUCACCAGAUCUUCAAUCUAUGGAGCAGAGUCUGCGAAUUAUGAGACCAACUGAUGUACCAGAUCAAGGUCUUCUUUGUGAUAUUUUGUGAUCUGACCCUGAUAAAGAUGUCUUAGGCUGGGGUGAAAAAUGAAAGAGGAGUGUCCUUCACAUUUGGUGCAGAAGUGGUUGCAAAAUUUCUCCAUAAGCAUGAUUUGGCUCUUAUACGUAGAGCCCAAGAAGUGGUUGAAGAUGGGUAUGAGGUUUUUUGCAAAGAGGCAGUUAGUCACUCUGUUUUCUGCACCCAACUACUGUGGUGAGUUUGACAAUGCAGGCUCCAUCAUGAGUGUGGAUGAAACCCUCAUAUGUUCCUUCCAGAAUUUAAAGACAGCAGAGAA
rnacentral:lncRNA from 1 species